UGGGGAAUAUUGCACAAUGGGGGAAACCCUGAUGCAGCGACGCCGCGUGAACGAAGUAGGUAUUCGUAUCGUAAAGUUCUGUCCUAUGGGAAGAUAAUGACAGUACCAUAGAAGAAAGCUCCGGCUAAAUACGUUCCAGCAGCCGCGGUAAUACGUAUGGAGCGAGCGUUGUCCGGAAUUAUUGGGCGUAAAGGGUACGCAGGCGGUUUAAUAAGUCGAAUGUUAAAGAUCGGGGCUCAACCCCGCAAAGCAUUGGAAACUGAUAAACUUGAGUAGUGGAGAGGAAAGUGGAAUUCCUAGUGUAGUGGUGAAAUACGUAGAUAUUAGGAGGAAUACCAGUAGCGAAGGCGACUUUCUGGACACAAACUGACGCUGAGGUACGAAAGCGUGGGGAGCAAACAGG
rnacentral:rRNA from 1 species